ACGGGACGGCCCGCCAGAGGACCCCUAAACUCUGUUUCUAUAUGUAACUUCUGAGUAAAACCAUAAAUAAAUCAAAACUUUCAACAACGGAUCUCUUGGUUCUGGCAUCGAUGAAGAACGCAGCAAAAUGCGAUAAGUAAUGUGAAUUGCAGAAUUCAGUGAAUCAUCGAAUCUUUGAACGCACAUUGCGCCCGCCAGUAUUCUGGCGGGCAUGCCUGUUCGAGCGUCAUUUCAACCCUCAAGCCCCCGGGUUUGGUGUUGGGGAUCGGCGAGCCCUUGCGGCAAGCCGGCCCCGAAAUCUAGUGGCGGUCUCGCUGCAGCUUCCAUUGCGUAGUAGUAAAACCCUCGCAACUGGUACGCGGCGCGGCCAAGCCGUUAAACCCCCAACUUCUGAAUGUUGACCUCGGAUCAGGUAGGAAUACCCGCUGAACUUAAGCAUAUCA
rnacentral:rRNA from 1 species